rnacentral:rRNA from 1 species
UAGAGUUUGAUCCUGGCUCAGGAUGAACGCUAGCGACAGGCUUAACACAUGCAAGUCGAGGGGCAGCGGUGGUGAAGGCUUGCCUUCACCAGCCGGCGACCGGCGCACGGGUGAGUAACACGUAUGCAACCUGCCUGCCACAGCCGGAUAAUCGGGAGAAAUUCCGUCUAAUACGGCAUAAUGCAUCGACGGGACAUCCUGUUGGUGCCAAAGGUUAAUUCCGGUGGCGGAUGGGCAUGCGUCGCAUUAGUUAGUUGGCGGUGUAACGGACCACCAAGACGACGAUGCGUAGGGGUUCUGAGAGGAAGGUCCCCCACACUGGUACUGAGACACGGACCAGACUCCUACGGGAGGCAGCAGUGAGGAAUAUUGGUCAAUGGGCGGGAGCCUGAACCAGCCAAGUCGCGUGAGGGAUGACGGCCCUAUGGGUUGUAAACCUCUUUUGCCGGGGAGCAAAGUGCCGCACGUGUGCGGUUUGGAGAGUACCCGGAGAAAAAGCAUCGGCUAACUCCGUGCCAGCAGCCGCGGUAAUACGGAGGAUGCGAGCGUUAUCCGGAUUUAUUGGGUUUAAAGGGUGCGUAGGCGGACGCUUAAGUCAGCGGUAAAAUUGCGGGGCUCAACCUCGUCGAGCCGUUGAAACUGGGUGCCUUGAGUGGGCGAGAAGUACGCGGAAUGCGUGGUGUAGCGGUGAAAUGCAUAGAUAUCACGCAGAACUCCGAUUGCGAAGGCAGCGUACCGGCGCCCAACUGACGCUGAAGCACGAAGGCGUGGGUAUCGAACAGGAUUAGAUACCCUGGUAGUCCACGCAGUAAACGAUGAAUGCUAGUUGUCCGGGGCGAUUGAGUUCUGGGUGACACAGCGAAAGCGUUAAGC